AUGUCGUCCGAGGCGGCGAAGGUGGUGGUGCCGGAGUCGGUGCUCCUCAAGAGGAAGCGGGAGGAGCUCUGGGCCGCCGAGAAGAAGACCAAGGCCGUCGAGGAGAAGAAGAAAUCCAGCGAGAACGUCAAGGUCAUCUACGCCCGCGCCAAGCAGUACGCCGAGGAGUACGAUGCCCAGGACAAGGAGUUGGUUCAGCUUAAGCGUGAGGCCCGGAUGAAGGGUGGGUUCUAUGUCAGUCCUGAGGCUAAGCUGCUGUUUGUUGUCAGAAUCAGAGGUAUCAAUGCCAUGCACCCAAAGACCAAGAAGAUCUUGCAGCUGUUGCGUUUGAGACAGAUAUUCAAUGGAGUGUUCCUGAAGGUUAACAAGGCCACCAUCAACAUGCUCCGCAGGGUCGAGCCAUAUGUUGCAUAUGGGUACCCGAACCUGAAGAGUGUGAGGGAGUUGAUCUACAAAAGAGGUUAUGGCAAGCUCAACAAGCAAAGGAUUCCUUUGACCAACAACAAGGUCAUCGAGGAGGGUCUUGGAAAGCACAACAUCAUCUGCAUUGAGGACCUUGUGCAUGAGAUCUUGACCGUCGGUCCUCACUUCAAGGAGGCCAACAACUUCCUGUGGCCCUUCAAGCUGAAGGCGCCGCUGGGAGGCCUCAAGAAGAAGAGGAACCACUACGUCGAGGGUGGCGACGCCGGCAACCGCGAGAACUACAUCAACCAGCUCGUCAGGAGGAUGAACUAG
rnacentral:rRNA from 1 species